ACGAACGCUGGCGGCGUGCCUAAUACAUGCAAGUCGAACGGUCUUUCUAUGGAAGCUUGCUUCCACUGAGAAGAUAGUGGCGAACGGGUGAGUAACACGUGGGUAACCUGCCCAUAAGAGGGGGAUAACAUCCGGAAACGGGUGCUAAUACCGCAUAGUUUUCUUGAUCGCAUGAUUGAGAAAGGAAAGACGGCCUUUGUGCUGUCGCUUAUGGAUGGACCCGCGGCGUAUUAGUUAGUUGGUGAGGUAACGGCUCACCAAGACGAUGAUACGUAGCCGACCUGAGAGGGUGAUCGGCCACAUUGGGACUGAGACACGGCCCAAACUCCUACGGGAGGCAGCAGUAGGGAAUCUUCCGCAAUGGACGAAAGUCUGACGGAGCAACGCCGCGUGAGUGAAGAAAGGUUUUCGGAUCGUAAAACUCUGUUGUCAGAGAAGAACAAGUUGGAGAGUAACUGCUCUAGCCUUGACGGUAUCUGACCAGAAAGCCACGGCUAACUACGUGCCAGCAGCCGC
rnacentral:rRNA from 1 species